rnacentral:rRNA from 1 species
CACGUAGGGGGCAAGCGUUGUCCGGAUUUAUUGGGCGUAAAGAGCUCGUAGGUGGUUCGGUAAGUCAGGUGUGAAACCUCCAGGCUCAACCUGGAGACGCCACUUGAUACUGCUGUGACUGGAGUCCGGUAGGGGAGCGUGGAAUUCCUGGUGUAGCGGGUGAAAUGCGCAGAUAUCAGGAGGAACACCAGCGGCGAAGGCGGCGCUCUGGGCCGGUACUGACGCUGAGGCGCGAAAGCGUGGGGAGCAAACAGG